AGAAGCCAGAGGAAUGCCAGCUAGAGAGACAUCAAAGUCAGCCACGCCCCCAAAAGCAUGGCUCUGACCUAGCUCUCUUAUUUUCAAACCUCUCUUCCCUUCCCAGGCAAGACGGUAAACUUGGUCUCUUAAAGCUGGUUUCUUCAAUGACUAGUAGAACAUAGAGAUUCCAUCUUCUACUGAACACAGAAGUCAUUUCCAAUACUCGCUGUGGAAAUUCCCUGUCUCUCUGCUUCCCAGAUGCUGGUAUUACAGAUAUCAGUCCCAAUGACAUGUCUGUAAAUCAGGACAGCCGAUACCGUUAUGGUGCGGAAGCUUGUAGGAAGACUUCCUAGACAAAGAAAAUGGCUGUCAAUUACUGAAGGAGUACAUACAUGGCCAUCCCAGACUCUCUUGUCUAGGUCUUAGAUUCUACCAUGCAUUUUACAUAUACAGCACAGCUCAUAUCAUCUCGACACUGCAUCUCCAUAGGACUGCUGGAAAGUGCUGCUGUGCAUCGUGGAGCGGCUUAGGGUCUCAGGAAAGCAGUAGGGAGCUGUAAUCUGAAUAACCCAGAGCUCAGUGGAAAAGAGGCUUAUGGAGGAGGGCUAAAGAUAAAAGAGGCAGAUUAGACAGGAAGAACCACAACUUGGGCUUGCUGGGCAGCAGGUGGCAGACAUGAUUGAAGACAGACAGUCCUAGGCUUUAGGGCCAUGUAACCAAAACACUUGAGAGAAAACUACAUACAAGAAUGUACUGCUGUCAGCCAUGUGACAAUGCCCAUGUCUUAAGAUGUGUGGGUUCAGAAAGAAGUGAUGUGCUUGACACAGGAUCCAGCCAUAACCCCAUGUGUCCUGAACAUCAAGACUGUGAGGCCAAGUUGAGCUUAGCUUCUAACACCAGAUGCACUAAUGACUGGAGCAGGCCAGUCAUAAAACAGACCAGGAAAGAAACAUAUACAUCAAGUUAGAUGAGCACCAGCCAAUUAGAAAGGGAGGCGACUGGGACAGCUCUGGGAAGAGGAGAAAAGAGCAGAGCCAAGGGUUCUACAUCCAGACUUGGACCAGAUCGCUGUGUUGGAGUUAUGUAUGGGUCUGUUCCCCUUGUUUCAAUGUUUAGAGACAGAGAAGGGGCCGACCCAGCACUACACAAGAGAAUGCUAACAUCCACCGGGGGAAGGGGCAGAGGGGAGGGGUGGGCAGAUGCUGUUUGGGAUUGAUCUUUGUGUGCAUGAACAUGUUCUACUUCAUCCCACAAUGCCUGGUGUGCAGUGUCACAUUCCACAUUAGACCAGCAUAGAAGACCCAUAACAAAAGUACUAGGAGCAGUGGGACCUGGCGGUGCAUGUCCACUGUCAUUGUCAGUCCUUAAGGAAUUAUGGCAGGAGGAGCAUGAGUUCAAGGCUGGCCCAGGCUAUGUAAAGAAAAGCAUGUAUCAAAAUGAAAAGGUUAUGUGCUCAAGGAUGAAAUAAAAUGUGGAAACAGA